rnacentral:lncRNA from 1 species
GUGGGUUUUUGAUUUUAUGGUAGUAUAUUGAUUACCCUUAAUGUAAAAUAUCAUUAUUCCGAUAUAUAUGACAUUGUUAAAGAAAUAUGAAGCUUUUUAUGUGUCCUUUUUUUCUAAUUUGCUCAUUCAGUCCGGAAUUUUCCGGAGUGUAUAUUUUUGUAAAUUUUUGAUAUUACAUUUUUGCAAUUUGUAUUCAUUUAUUGAGGGAAAACUGAUUGUUUCUU